GAAUAUUACAAGCACAAGCUUAAAGUUUAAUGGGCUUGGCGGUGCUUUAAACCCCCCUAGAGGAGCCUGUCCUGUAAUCAAUAUUCCCCGUUAAACCUCACCUUCUUUUGCCCACAGUCUGUAUACCUCCGUCGUCAGUUUACCCUUUAAAGGCAUAAAAGCAAACAAAAUCGAGUUUAAUCCCAAACGUCAGGUCAAGGUGCAACUAAUAAGAAGGGAAGAGAUGGGCUACAUUUCCUAAAUAGGAAACUACGGGUUAUGCAAUGAAACUUGCAUUAUGAAGGAGGGUUUAGCAGUAAGUAAAAAAUAGAGUGUUUUACUGAAGCAGGCUCUAAAGCGCGUACAGACCGCCCGUCGCUCUCUCCCACUUUCCUAUACAAACACAUCUAUACAUAAUAAGUAAACCUGUUUAAAGGGGAUAGACAAGUCGUAACAAGGUAAGUGUACUGGAAAGUGCACUUGGCUCACU
rnacentral:rRNA from 1 species